CGAGAGGUAGUGCAUGGCCGCCGUCAGUUCGUACCGUAAGGCGUUCUGUUAAGUCAGAUAACGAACGAGACCCUCAUCUCUAUUUGCCACCAGAUCUCCGGAUCUGACGGGACUAUAGAGAGACCGCUGGCGCUAAGUCAGAGGAAGGGGAGGGCAACGGUAGGUCAGUAUGCUCCGAAUGCUAUGGGCUACACGCGCAAUACAAAGGACGGGACAAUGGGCUGCUACUCCGAAAGGAAUGACGCUAUCCCGAAACCCGUUCGUAGUUCGGAUUGAGGGCUGUAACUCGCCCUCAUGAAGCUGGAUUAGGUAGUAAUCGCGUCUCAAUAAGGCGCGGUGAAUAUGCCCCUGCUCCUUGCACACACCGCCCGUCAAACCAUC
rnacentral:rRNA from 1 species